GGAUUUCGCUGACAGCGGCUCGUGCCAGUACUCAACCGACUGCCAAACGGCGCACGACAAAGCACCGAGCAGCAGCAUUAAAUAGCAGCUGAGGCAACAAUACCAACAGCAACACCACCAUCCACAGCAGAAGCAGCAGCAGCACCACCAAGCAGCAGUAAUAGCCGCACGGCAAUAGCAACAGCAACACAAGCAAAAGAAAAGCUACCCACGACGACGCUCGGUGUGUGCGUUGUUUUUUUUGUUUGUUUGCGCUGAACAAAUCAAAUUUCAAUCAAAAGAACAAAAGAUUGUGGGUAGAAAAGUGUGUAAGCCACAA